GUCUACAGUCAUGCCACUCUGAACACACCCGAUCUAGUCUGAUCUCGGAAGCUAACCAGGGUCGGGCCUGGUUAGUACUUGGAUGGGAGACCACCUAGGAAGAUCAGGUGCUGUAGGCA
rfam:Pteropus alecto contig35414, whole genome shotgun sequence.